CAGCAGCCGCGGUAAUACGGAGGGCGCGAGCGUUACCCGGAUUUACUGGGCGUAAAGGGCGUGUAGGCGGCCUGGGGCGUCCCAUGUGAAAGGCCACGGCUCAACCGUGGAGGAGCGUGGGAUACGCUCAGGCUAGAGGGUGGGAGAGGGUGGUGGAAUUCCCGGAGUAGCGGUGAAAUGCGCAGAUACCGGGAGGAACGCCGAUGGCGAAGGCAGCCACCUGGUCCACUUCUGACGCUGAGGCGCGAAAGCGUGGGGAGCAAACCGGAUUAGAUACCCCGGUAGUCCCUGUCUCUUAUAC
rnacentral:rRNA from 1 species